rnacentral:misc_RNA from 1 species
GAUCAUUUAUUUGAUCAUUAUUGGUAAGUAUGGAUCAACUUUAGCUUAAUUUUCAUAUGUUGUUUUAAUGGAGCAUUAGUAAUUGUUUUUGUAUUCUGAAGAUACCAUCUAGUACUUAAUGAAACUAAUCAGCAGAGUUCAAACUUUUGGAAUUGUUCUUAUCAAAGUUUGUAAGUCACAGUUAUCUUUUUAGAUGGGUUUGGUUAACCCAUUAUAUAUUUAAGACUCAAUUUAGCUAAUUUUGCCUCACUUUAACGCUCAUAAGCUUGUUAAUUUGGUGGGUAAUACUGUUGUCCACUUGGUUUCAGUUCUUGUUCUGUUUCACUCAUAUUAUGAUCAGGCUUUCUGUUCUUGAAUUUCUAUCUAUAAUGAAUCAAGAUUCUUAUAGCUUAUAUUCUUGUGCUUUUUAAUUUGCCAAAUUUUACUUGGUUUCUUGUAGCUCAUAAUACAAUUGACAAUUGUCCCUUCUGUUUUUCAGGGGAUGUCCUGUCAGGAAAUGUUAAUGAAGGGUCAGUGCACUUGGGAGUGUUGCGAGAAUGGUUUGGCGUUCACUGGUGGAAUUCACGCGCUU